UAUAACCAAUAUUUUGAACUAAAAUUUUAAAACACCAUGUGGUCAUUUAGAAAGCACUAGCCUUCAAUAAUGUUAACUAAGUCAGCACAGCUUGAGCUCAAUUAGCACACAAUUAACCAAGUGGAAACACUCACUCACCUUCUAUACCCCUUUAUCCUGUAUUCAGGGUCACGGGGACCUGGAGCCUAUCCCACGUAGCUUAGAGCAUGAGGCAGGGUACACCCUGGACAGGGUCCCAAUCCAUCACAGGGCACACACACAUACACACCCAUUCACACACUACAGGCAAAUUGGGAAUGUCAAUUAACCUUACCUACAUGUCUUGUGGGAGGAAACCAGAACCCAGGGGAAACCCACCAAGCCCGGGGAGAACAUGCAAACUCCAUGCACAUAGAGACGGGAAUCAAACCCGGACCCUGGAGGUGCAAGGCGACAGUGCUAACCAAUACACCACCGUGCCGCCAAGUGAAAACACUAGGAGUCAAAAUUUAUCACACACCAAUCGGAAACUUUGAUUGAUAGAUAAAAGGGCCAAAGUCAGCUUAUUCACGUUUGAAAAAACAGAUACAAAGAGAUGCAAAGUAAGAGGUCGAGGAGGAGGAUGAAAUUCGAGCCACUUUAGUUGACUAUGUCCUUGUCCAUGGUAUGACUAUGAGGUCAUCUACUUAAAUAUGUGCAUAUUCCCAUUCAAUGCAUUUAGUAUUUUGUUUAGUUAAUUGCUUUGGUAUUUAUUUAUAUUAAAUAAUAAGACACCAACACCAUUCAUUUUAUUUAGAUAGAAGUGCAUCAUAUCUGGGUGGAGUGCCCACAUCCUAGUUUAUGUUGUACUGUAUAUUUUGAGUAAAUAUAAUUUUUUUCUUUGAGUUUUAGUUACCGUUGAGCUGUUGCCUGGCUGGAACUGCUGCACUGAGCUCUCACUGUGAUCCGUCAACUAAAGGUCUGGCGUGCCGCGUCAACCACAACUAUGGUUCCACCGGCUGUACCAACAUGUAGACUAACUGUGGGAGGGAAUUGGUUGUCUGCCAUUUUAUGUUUGUGUGUAUCUAUGGUAUAUGGUUUUGAUUCUUCCUUUUCUAUUUUGCUUUUUCAAUACCUGUUUAGUUUACAGUAGAUUAGUUAUUUAAUUGCUCCAUGUUUGUUAGUUGGGUUGUUUUAGUUUGUUGUGAUCUUGUGGUUCUCCUAUGUGUUUAAAAAUGGACUGGUCCAUCCUUAUAAAUGUGUUCCCAUUGUAUUGUCUCGGGUGAUUGAGGGUAGUUGUUUUCAUAGUUUUCAUAGUUUGGUUUAAGUUCUUUCUGCUGUGGUCUGUUGGAUUCAGUUAAGUUCUUCUGAGUUUAUUAGUUUAAAUUUAACUUUGAUUCUUUUGACCUUUUUAGUAGUUUAUUUGACUUGAAAGCUGAAUAUUGCUUUCUUUAAGUUAAAUGUGCAUUUUUUUGAUUUAUUAAAACUGUCAUUUGGGUGAAAGCUUGCUUUUCUACGUCCCCUCAUUUAUUUGGGCUGCAAAGGCCCUUACACUUCAGGGAGGAAAACGUGGAGCUGGAGGACACAGAAACGACCACUUGGUGGAGGCAGGUUAAGGCUUUUGUCGGAGGAGCAAGAGAGGCAGCUUGUAAACAUAGUAAUUACCAAUAAAAUAAUCUGCGAGAGAUUCAUAGGAGAGUGAAUGAGGAUGAUCGUCAUUUUCGAAGGGAUAAAUGCCAUUAACCUCUCCACAAUUGACCACAUUCUCCAAAAUAACCAAUUCUGGAUGAAACAGGCAUACCGCGUCCCUUUUAAACGAAACUCUGAUAGAGUGAAAAACCAACAAGUGGAAUAUGUUUAGAGAUUGAAGGACAGCCUGUUCCCCAUGAAAUUAUCUUUGUGGAUGAGGCAGGUUUUAACCUAACCAAAAGGAGGAGAAGGGGGAAGAACAUAAUUAGCCAUUGGGCUAUUGUAAAUGUCCCUGGUCAGCAUGGAGGGAAUGUCACUAUGUGCGCAGCCAUCAGCCAACAAGGGGUACCCCACUGCCAUGUUAUUCUAGGACCCUAUAACACUAUGCUUCUACUGUACUUGCUUUUCUUGAUGGUCUAAGACAACAUAUGUUCCAGCUGGACUACAGGGAACCAGCACAGCCAGAGUAGCCUCACUACGUCGUUUUUUGGGAUAAUGUCAGCUUCCAUUGCGCUGCUCUGGUCCAUGACUGGUUUAUCAAUAACCCAAGGUUUUCUAACAUCUUUUUUCCUGCAUACUCUCCCUUUCUAAACCCGAUAGAGGUUAUUUUUGGCAUGGCAGUGGAAAGUGUAUAACAGAGAACCUUAUGUCCAUGUUCACCUCCUCCUGGCAAUGAAAGAAGCCUGCCUAGACAUAUCAGUGAAUGCAUGCCAGGGGUGCAGGCAUGCAAGAAGAUCCUCUAACAGUUAACUUACCCCCAUAGAACUUCUAACACUCUUGUUAACCUAAUUUAUACAACAAGAAACUCUAUCAGAAUUCUCAACCAGAUCAAAAAGGUGCUCAAUAUACCUGAGACUUCAGUAAGAACCUGUAAGGGUUAACCCCUAGAGGGCGCCAAAUGCCCACUGAUUAUGUUUGUGUUUUGUAGUUUGUUUGAUUUGGACUACAUGUACCAGAAUGCAUCUCGGUCAGGUGAUAGAAGAGCGCACCUGAACCGAGUCGAAUAAUUAAGUUGAGUUAAUAUAAAUAGCCUGACUGAAGUUCAGACCCUCCCCCCCCCCUUCUUCCCACGGCAGCUUAGUUAUUUACUUUGUGUAUGUGCGCAAUCAUUUAAUUGUUAGUUUUUUGUUAUUUUUCAGGUACUGUGUGUAAUAAAUGUGUAGUUAUGUUU